UCUACUUUGUAAUCUUCAUGAAUCCCUCUCGAGUCCCCACUCUCCUUUCCCCUUUGUCUUUUGCCCUAACAACACUAGCAGAUCUGAUUGUCUUCAGUCUUCCAAGUUCCACAAUCCACACUUUGUUAAUCUCUCUCUCAAGAGCAACACCCGAAAAGGAGUCUUAGCUUUAGGUGGUCUUUUCAAAUUCCAAGCUUGGCUUUGUUGGGUACUGGGUAGGCUUUCCCCUGUCGUACUGCUCACCUUUUGUGAGGAGCCAAUUCUUAUUGAUGCUUUUACGGGGGCUGUUGAUCAUGCCGAUUCCAAAGUAUAGAGCUGCUCAAUUUUCCCGAGAAAAUAAAAACACACUCUUGCAUGCUUAUUUCAUUUUACGAGAGAAUCUGAUUGUAAUUGCUGCACCCAUUGUGAUAGAAUGAUGGAUAUGUGGGCGGUUAAUGUAAAGAACACAACUGGAAGCCCUUUUUGUUUAAAAAAUCAUUCAAUUUGAGAGAAAUCAUUUAGUUUUGAGAAAUUCAGGGUUUUGGGCAUUAGGGUUUUGGAAGCAUAAAUUUUCUUCUUUUGGAGAUCAUUCUUUGAGUGUCAAAGCUAUGGCUAAGAAGAAUAGCAAUGAUAACUCCAAUUCCUCUUCUCCUUCAGGGGGGAUGUGUUCUCUGUAAAUUGAAGAAAAAACCAGAUGUGAAGACCAACCAAGGUGAAUCAAAUCACCAUAUGGUCUCGAUCUCUGAUUUCGAAGCUGCACCGAAGUGCAGUAUUGAAGGCGAUGCGGGCCUUCGAUGGAGAUACCUUCUAAUUAAAAAAAAUCAUGUGAUCACGUCAGGGUGAUGCGAUUCAUUGUUAAAGAAGGACCUGAACUUGUCAAGAAAACCAAGGACUAGAACUCAUGUCCCCUCAAGAUUUGUGUUUUUAUUUUUUAUUUUUUUGUGUGCGCUUUUUAUAUGUGAUAUUUAAUUAAAGAACGGCCAAAUAGCAACAUAGAAAAUAAUUACAAAAAAAUAUUUAUUGAUAUUGUUAAAUACUCUUUUAAAUAACAAA